AGAGUUUGAUCCUGGCUCAGGACGAACGCUGGCGGCGUGCCUAACACAUGCAAGUCGAGCGCGUCUNAUUUNAUGCUUGCAUUAANNAAAGAUGAGCGGCGGACGGGUGAGUAACGCGUGGGUAACCUGCCNUAUACACAUGGAUAACAUACUGAAAAGUUUACUAAUACAUGAUAAUAUAUAUNNCCGGCAUCGUAGAUAUAUCAAAGUGUUANCGGUAUAGGAUGGACCCGCGUCUGAUUAGCUAGUUGGUGAGAUAACUGCCCACCAAGGCGACGAUCAGUAGCCGACCUGAGAGGGUGAUCGGCCACAUUGGAACUGAGACACGGUCCAAACUCUACGGGAGGCAGCAGUGGGGAAUAUUGCACAAUGGGCGCAAGCCUGAUGCAGCAACGCCGCGUGAACGAUGAAGGUCUUCGGAUCGUAAAGUUCUGUUGCAGGGGAAGAUAAUGACGGUACCCUGUGAGGAAGCCCCGGCUAACUACGUGCCAGCAGCCGCGGUAAUACGUAGGGGGCUAGCGUUAUCCGGAUUUACUGGGCGUAAAGGGUGCGUAGGUGGUCUUUCAAGUCGGUGGUUAAAGGCUACGGCUCAACCNUAGUUAGCUUCCGAAACUGGAAGACUUGAGUCCAGGAGAGGAAAGUGGAAUUCCCAGUGUAGCGGUGAAAUGCGUAGAUAUUGGGAGGAACACCAGUAGCGAAGGCGGCUUUCUGGACUNCAACUNACACUGAGGNACGAAAGCGUGGGUAGCAAACAGGAUUAGAUACCCUGGUAGUCCACGCUGUAAACGAUGAGUACUAGGUGUCGGGGUUACCCNGCUCGGUGCCUUCACUAACGCAUUAAGCACUCCGCCUGGGGAGUACGNNNNNNNNNNNNNNNNUCAAANGAAUCGACGGGGACCCGCACAAGUAGCGGAGAUGUGGUUUAAUACGAAGCAACGCGAAGAACCUUACCUAAGCUUGACAUCCCUUAGACCGGUGUUUAAUCACACCUUCCCUUCGGGGCUGAGGUGACAGGUGGUGCAUGGUUGUCGUCAGCUCGUGUCGUGAGAUGUNGGGUUAAGUCCCGCAACGAGCGCAACCCUUGUCUUUAGUUGCCAGCAUUNAGUUGGGCACUCUAGAGAGACUGCCAGNGAUAAACCGGAGGAAGGUGGGGAUGACGUCAAAUCAUCAUGCCCUUUAUGUCUAGGGCUACACACGUGCUACAAUGGGAGGUACAGAGGGUUGCCAAACCGUGAGGUGGAGCGAAUCCCCUAAAGCCAGUCUCAGUUCGGAUUGUAGGCUGAAACUCGCCUACAUGAAGCUGGAGUUGCUAGUAAUCGCAGAUCAGAAUGCUGCGGUGAAUGCGUUCCCGGUUCUUGUACACACC
rnacentral:rRNA from 1 species